GGGUAAGCUCUGAGGUCUCAGAAGCUCAAGUCAACUCUCUCCUCCUGCUGCCUGACAAUCUAUAUGGAGAACUCUCAGCUCCUCCUGCACCAUGUCUGCCUGCAUGCUGCCACACUUCUUGACACCAUGACAAUGGACUACACCUCUGAAACUGCUGUCAAACAUCAAAGUUUAGAAAAUGGAUCAGAAACUGUCAAACUACCACUGACUUCACCUCUACCCAUGCCAUGUCGGACUUCCAAGGAUGGCCUGGAUGCUUGGAAGAUGCCCAUUCAUUCUCGCCCAGUCUGGGACCAGAGGACACCACACCAUGGCUCAGGUUACACUCAGCUCCUGGAACACAUGAAGUGUUAGGUAGGCUAGUUGAUGCCCAUCUCUGCCUCCCUCCCUGGGAUUUAUACAUGCAUCAGCACACCCAGCGUUUUAGAAUAUGGAUUCUGGAGCUAAAUUCUGCUAAACCUGCAUAUAAGCUGGCAGAUGGUGCUGCCGCAGCCUGAUUCAAACAGAACCGUGUCUGUGAGGCCUUUCCUGUCAGAGAUCUACCAGGAGAAGCAAACACACUAGGCACACCUUCCAAAGCAAGAGAUCCGCGCCUUAUAAAGGUUCACAGAGGAGUCCAGCAGACCUGGCCAUGGAUACCUGCGGCUCUACCGUCUGAUUUCCUUAUGCACACAAUGGAAGACACAAUUCAACUCCAUCAGAGGAAAAUGCUGGCCCAAAGACUCAUGCAUGCAAAGAGAUUAUUAUGUACCUGAUUAAUGUAAGAUGCCCAUAAUGAUACUAUAUUGCUAAAUCUAAGUUAAUAGACUAAUUUAUAUCUAUCCCAAAUAUUGGAGACAUAAAUCAUUUUUAGAGAGUGUAUACCCAAAUAUUACUGACCCAGGUGGCCUCAUAGCAUCUUAUCAGACGGCUGUCUACUCAAUAUAAAAAAAGUACUUAUCUGAUUGGUUUCCAUUUGGAGUGCAAUCUUAUUUUUUAACUUAAUGAUACCUUAAGGUGUUAUUUAAAAAAAAAUAGACUGGAUUGUAAAUGCAAUGCAAAAUUUAAGCUAUUUUUUUGUUGUUUUCUUGUCUGUUUUUUUUUUUUUUUAAAGUUUAGCUUCUCACUAAUUUUAUUGUAUUGCUAUAGGCCUAGUAAACCCUCCUGCAAAUGUAACUGUAAAAGUGGAGGCUACAGGCUGGCACUUAGCCCACGGGUGGCACUGUGGUAGCUCUCCACAUUUUUGCAUGUUUCUUUCUGUAAUCCUCUUUAGAAUUAAGGUCAGACUUCAGACAUCAAACCAUCCUAGAGUACUUUAUUAUGAUCUUGGUUGGUGGAAAAUGUGUAUUUCUCCUUAAAGCACACCUGAAAAGUGUAAGACUUUAGCAGCCCAUGAAAAUUGUUCUUAGUUGCAAUAGCUUAGCUAAGUGUGUGCUUUGCAGUUUGUGCUAGAAUCCUAAUUUAUGAUUUUGUAGUCAUUUACCAAAUGGAAAGUGGUAACACAUUUAGGGUUAGGACAUGAAACAUCUUAUAAGUGACUUAAAAUGGUAAAGUAUCUGGGGAAAGAGGCCCUCUUUUCUUCUUUCCCUCCAACUUUUCUAAAAAAAGAAGAAAUACAAUCACAUUAAUUUCUUAAGAAAAAAAAACUAUUUAUGGCAAGUUUUUUUGGUAAGGGGAUGUAACAACUAGAGCCUUCAGCCCCUGCUGGUGAGGUUUUAAGUUGGGGCAGUCAUUUUUGAAAAUUGUUGAGCAAUCUCUAGUAAGCUGAAACACACAUAUUUCAUGACUCAGCAAAUCCUCACCAGUAAUGAUACCUAUAUUCAAUGAAAUGCAUUAAAAUGUCUCCUUUAUGCAUAACAAACAAGGGCUGUAAACAACUCAAAAAAACCAGCAGUUGACUAGCUAAAUAAAUUGUAGUAUUUAUACAACCAAGUCACCUGUGCCAAUAAUAGAAUACAACACCACAGUAUACAGCACAGUAGAUGGGGCCCAUGAACAUAGUGUUGACUAGGAGUAGAUGCCAAAGAGCAUGCACUUUGUGGUCCAUCUUACCUAAAAUUCAAAGCCAGGAAAUGCAACCAGCACGUAGCCAUAUAGGGAAGACAGUGCUGGGAAGAACAGAGGCAGUUUGGUAGCACGCACUUUGAAGUGAUAUGGUGUGAACCAUCCUAUGAAAAGACAUCUAGGAUAGAGUUAUGAUAUGAGACUGUGUGCACUUGUGUAUUGUGGCAGAGCCUUUCCCUAAUGAAUAAAGAUUUCAAGGAACCAAUCACUGGGUGAGUAGGUCAAACUUCUAGGUCAGAGAGAGAGGAGGAGGGCGGCAGGAGAAUGAGGACUUCCUUUUGGACAGGAGAGAGCAUGGAGUCCCCGGGGUAGGUGGCAGAUCCUCGGGAAGAUUUAUAACUUAAAUAGCUUACAAAUUUAGGAUGCAUGGAUUGCUUUUUAAAUAUUUCAUGCAACCGUGUAUAUUAUGACAUGAGACUGUGUGCCCUUGUGUAUACCAAUGUUCUACUACUGUGUAAUUAAACAUAUAUAACAAAA